rnacentral:rRNA from 1 species
CUCCCUCGUUGCUGAUCUCAGGUUCGAUAAUGCCAAUAUCGCACCACCUCGCCUGGAACCAACUUCGAUGAAGCGACGGGCGGUGUGUG